rnacentral:rRNA from 1 species
UGGGUAACCUGCCUCAAAGAGGGGAAUAGCCUCCCGAAAAGGGAGAUUAAUACCGCAUAAUAUGUUUAAGUCGCAUGACUUUAACAUCAAAGGAUUUUCUUUUAGAAAUUCCACUUUGAGAUGGACCCCGCGGCGCAUUAGCUAGUUGGUGAGGUAACGGCUCACCAAGGCAACGAUGCGUAGCCGACCUGAGAGGGUGAUCGGCCACAUUGGAACUGAGACACGGUCCAGCUCCGUAGGAG